UCGAGAAUCUUCGGCAAUGGACGCAAGUCUGACCGAGCGACGCCGCGUGCGGGAUGAAGGCCUUCGGGUUGUAAACCGCUGUCGUAGGGGAACAAAUCUACGGGGGUUCUCCCCUGUAGUUGAGUGAUCCUAGGAGGAAGGAGAGGCUAAGCUCGUGCCAGCAGCCGCGGUAAGACGAGCUCUCCAAACGUUAUUCGGUAUCACUGGGCUUAAAGAGUUCGUAGGCGGUCUGGUAGGUGAGGUGUGAAAUCCCCCGGCUCAACCGGGGAACUGCGCUUCAAACCGCCGGACUUGAGGGAGACAGAGGUGGGCGGAACAGAUGGUGGAGCGGUGAAAUGCGUUGAUAUCAUCUGGAACACCGGUGGCGAAAGCGGCCCACUGGGUCUCAUCUGACGCUGAGGAACGAAAGCUAGGGUAGCGAACG
rnacentral:rRNA from 1 species